rnacentral:rRNA from 1 species
ACGAACGCUGGCGGCGUGCUUAACACAUGCAAGUCGAGCGGUAAGGCCCUUUCGGGGGGUACACGAGCGGCGAACGGGUGAGUAACACGUGGGUGACCUGCCCUCAGCUCUGGGAUAAGCCUGGGAAACUGGGUCUAAUACCGGAUAUGACUCCAUGACGCAUGUUGUGGGGUGGAAAGCCUUGUGCGGCUGAGGAUGGGCCCGCGGCCUAUCGGCUUGUUGGUGGGGUGAUGGCCUACCAAGGCGACGACGGGUAGCCGGCCUGAGAGGGCGACCGGCCACACUGGGACUGAGACACGGCCCAGACUCCUACGGGAGGCAGCAGUGGGGAAUCUUGCGCAAUGGGCGAAAGCCUGACGCAGCGACGCCGCGUGAGGGAUGACGGCCU